rnacentral:rRNA from 1 species
AACGAACGCUGGCGGCAUGCCUAACACAUGCAAGUCGAACGAAACCUUCGGGUCUAGUGGCGCACGGGUGCGUAACGCGUGGGAACCUGCCCUUAGGUUCGGAAUAACUCCCCGAAAGGGGUGCUAAUACCGGUUAAUGUCUUCGGACCAAAGAUCUAUCGCCUUUGGAUGGGCCCGCGUUGGAUUCGCUAGUUGGUAGGGUAAAAGCCUACCAAGGCGACGAUCCAUAGCUGGUCUGAGAGGAUGACCCGCCACACUGGGACUGAGACACGGCCUAGACUCCGACGGGAGGCAGCAGUGGGGAAUAUUGGACAAUGGGGGAAAGCCUGAUCCAGCAACGCCGGGUGAGUGAUGAAGGCCUUAGGGUUGUAAAGCUCUUUUACCCGGGAUGAUAAUGACAGUACCGGGAGAAUAAGCUCCGGCUAACUCCGUG